CUUGUUGCUGAGCUAACAUCUGUGGCAAUCUUCCUCUGUUUUGUAUGUGGGUCACCCCCACAGCAUGGCUUGAUGAGCAGUGCGUAGGUCCACAUCUGGGAUCUGAGCCUGUGAACCCCAGGUGGCCAAAGCGGAGUGCGCAAACUUAACCACUAUGCCACUGGGCUGGCCCCAAGAUGUGGGUUUUUUAAUCCUUUUCUGUUUGUCUCUUGUUUUAGAAGCAGAUCGUGAGACAAAGAUUCAAGUAAGAGUAGUUUAUUUGGCAGCUGAAGGAAACAUCCACUGGCGGUGGGGCUUGAGAGAAGGAAGUGAAGACAGCCAAGAGAGCGUGUGUUAUCAAGCCAGCUACCCCUGUGGGCAGCUGGUUUGGUCCACUGUGCUCUCUGCCAGGCAGCCUAGCAGACGCCCCGCAGUCACCAGCACCAACUCCCGGACAUCAGGGAGGUUGGAGGGGCAGAGUUCCCGCACUUCAGCCUCCUGCGUGGGAGGCACGGUGUGCUCAGGUGGCCAAAGAAGGCAAAGAAGGUAAAGAAGUGAGGUCCUGGUAAAGUGGAAGUCAGUCAUGUUAAAAGAAGAGAAGAUCACUCCUGGAUAGUUUUGUCUCCUGGCCACCAGGAGUUUGUGAAAGUUGGCAAGUACAGUGCUGCGUGUUAGUCAGCUCUGCAGUUUCAUCAACUUCUCGGCUUCUAUUGGAUGACUAGUCUCAAUGUUGGUGCCAUAGACUGUUGGGCCUCCCAAAUUUUGUGUGUCACAAAAUUACUCAAAGGACAUGGAUUGGCAUUGGCAAGGAGUAUUUUUUCUCUCACUCAAGACUACUUUUUACUUCAGAGGAAAUGGGGCCAAAUUGCAUUUCACCAAUUAUGGAAGGGAUCGAUUCUGGAAACCCGAGUUAAUGGCAUUAUGUUUCUGACUUCCUCCAGAGCUGUUCUAAUGCCCAUUACAGCUGGCUGCUGCUUAGUAGCCCGUCUACUAACCCGGCUCUGAGAAUAUCCAGAUCCUACCAAUGUGAUCAGAAUUACACUCAAAGAAAUAGGAUGGAAAAAGACAGUAAUUCAGAGGGUAGAGCUGUACUGAAAUCCAUCUGUGAAGAGGCUGGAAAGUGAGGAGACCCUGAGGAAGAAUUCGUGCAGUGUCUAUCCAGCAGAGCUGACGAUCGGGAAGGCGCUGCACUCUGAGUGGACGUGCCUGGGCCCUCCAUGGUUUUGGUACCUCUAGUUUUCUCCAUAGCGGGAAUAAUGGGCUAAUAUGGGGUGAGGGGAGAAUGUGUUGAUCUCUUCAGAUCAAAUGAACGGCUUCAUUUUUAAGCUCAUUAAACACUCUCCCACUCCGUUGCGAGUCUUCUUUAGCUCAAUAAAGAAG
rnacentral:lncRNA from 1 species